rnacentral:rRNA from 1 species
UACGGGGGGUGCGAGCGUUGUCCGGAAUCACUGGGCGUAAAGGGAGCGUAGGCGGCGUGGUAAGUCAGAUGUGAAAUCCCGGGGCUCAACCCCGGAACUGCAUCCGAUACUGCCAUGCUAGAGGAUUGGAGAGGUAGCUGGAAUUCUUGGUGUAGCAGUGAAAUGCGUAGAGAUCAAGAGGAACACUCGUGGCGAAAGCGAGCUACUGGACAAUUCCUGACGCUGAGGCUCGAAGGCUAGGGUAGCGAAAGGG